UCAUGGAGAGGUGGAUCUGAACGAGAGACCACAGGAAUUCAGAUAUGGAGUGAAAUCUUCCUUAUCAAUAAACCUGAUGGUAAAAAGGUUGCAGUGUUAUUGAUGGAUACUCAGGGAACCUUUGAUAGUCAGUCAACUUUGAGAGAUUCAGCCACCGUAUUUGCCCUUAGCACAAUGAUCAGCUCAAUACAGGUAUGAAAUAAACCCAUUUUGAUGAUGUUUCUUUAACUAAAAAUUAUCAGUAUAUGUGUUUCUACAUACAUGUGAUAAUGAGAUAAACAACAGAAAUUGGGAAUCAUAUAUAUUGUUUGACUCAAUUAGCAUACCAGUUCUUGUGAUUUCUAUAAGAGUGGAAUUGUUUUUGUUACUG
rnacentral:sRNA from 1 species